rnacentral:misc_RNA from 1 species
AACGCAUCUUGCGCUCCUUGGUAUUCCGAGGAGCAUGCCUGUUUGAGUGUCAUUCAACUUCUCAACCACAUUCAUUGAUUGUGGCUUGGAUUGUGGGGGUUUGUUUUUGCAGGCUUCUUCUGUAAAAAAGAAAGGUCGGCUCCCCUGAAAUGUAUCAGUGGUAUCUGAGGCUAUUACUAUAGGUGUGAUAAUUAUCUAUGCCCUUGGUAUGCCGCAUGAACUGCUUCCAACAGAGAUGACCCUUUUGAUGAAUUUGACCUCAAAUCAGGUAGGACUACCCGCUGAACUUAA